rnacentral:lncRNA from 1 species
ACUUGCAAACACGGGGUUGAUCGUCCUAAAUGGCUAAGGCCAUUUCAUUCUAGUUAUAUAUUAAAGUAGAAAAUAACAUUGCAUUGUAAAUAAUAUAAAUCUUGUGGUUAUGGAUAAUUAUCAAACUUCUGGUUAACAUUUUUGUAGUCUUUUCACCUUAUCCUUGUCUCAACUUUUAAAUCUUUCAAUAUCGGUCUUAACUCUUUUUCGAGAUGUUGUCUAGCCAGAAAAUGGCUUGUGGGGGGUCUUUUCCCUUCAUUUUUCCUUUUCUCUUUAACUUUUU